rnacentral:lncRNA from 1 species
AAUGUGUGACUUCCGGCUUAUCUGGAGGCACUUGUCAUCAGGAUUGACCUCUGUCUGUGAACUGGACAAGUCCCCAGUUCUUGUCCAGCCACUUCUUUCCUGACAUUUCUUCCCUGGCCCCUAGGUACAUUAGGUUUGGGAGACCUAUAUGCCAUCCAUUCGCACCUUCUGAGGACCAGGCUGGGGCCUGACUCACCCUCGAAACAAGUCCCUCUGGAGAGGCAGGUCAUGGACCCCGCUAAACCUGACUCAGUGCCCUGCCUGUAUCUCAGCCCACAAGAAGCUGUCCUACAAAUGGCGCAUCCGGUUGGAGAGAUGGCUCAGUAGUUAGGAGCACUGACUGAUCUCUCAGAGGUCCUGAGUUCAAUCCCCAGCAACCAUAUAGUGGCUCAUAGCCAUCUGUAAUGGGAUCUGAUCCCCUCUUCUGGUGUGUCUGAAGACAGUUACAGGGUACUCAUUACAAAUAAAAUAAACAAAUACAUCU